rnacentral:rRNA from 1 species
AGUGAACGCUGGCGGUAGGCCUAACACAUGCAAGUCGAACGGCAGCACAGUAAGAGCUUGCUCUUACGGGUGGCGAGUGGCGGACGGGUGAGGAAUACAUCGGAAUCUACUUUUUCGUGGGGGAUAACGUAGGGAAACUUACGCUAAUACCGCAUACGACCUACGGGUGAAAGCAGGGGAUCUUCGGACCUUGCGCGAUUGAAUGAGCCGAUGUCGGAUUAGCUAGUUGGCGGGGUAAAGGCCCACCAAGGCGACGAUCCGUAGCUGGUCUGAGAGGAUGAUCAGCCACACUGGAACUGAGACACGGUCCAGACUCCUACGGGAGGCAGCAGUGGGGAAUAUUGGACAAUGGGCGCAAGCCUGAUCCAGCCAUACCGCGUGGGUGAAGAAGGCUUUCGGGUUGUAAAGCCCUUUUGUUGGGAAAGAAAAGCAGCAGGUGAAUACCCCGCUGUUCUGACGGUACCCAAAGAAUAAGCACCGGCUAACUUCGUG